ACAGAGCCCAACGCAGGGCUCGAACUCACGGACCACGAGAUCACGACCUGAGCCGAAGUCGGACGCCCAACCGGCUGAGCCACCCAGGCGCCCCAGGGCCGUGGUUUAUUACAGCAAAGGGAUACAGGCGAAUGUAGCACAAGGAGAAGGCCACAGGGCAGAGUCCAGACAGAGCUCCCAGCUGUCUGUGGACAGCAGUCCUCCCUGGCAUCCACGUGUCCUCACCAGAGCCCAGCCUGGGCCCCUGGGCCCCUGGGCCACAUGUGCUUUGGUGUUGGCCUCUGGCAAGCUGGGCAGGGAUGGUCGGGUUGGGGAGUGUUUUCCUUCCUUUAGAUGCCACAGAAGCUCAGACUUUGCCCAGGUACUGUUAGCAGGCAAGUAGAACAUGGUGACAGAGGUAAAAUGAUCUCUGCCUGCAGGAAUGCCCUUCCGUGUGGCCCGCCCAUUCCGUUCUUUCCAUCUUCUCCAUCUGUCCCACUUGUCAUCCCUCCUGAUGAUGUUUUCGGGUGAUGGGUUCAUAGGGUCUGGGGCCAACAGCCAAGAAAGAAUUCUUGAAGAUAUGUUUGAUGCAAAACGGUCAUUUUAUUAAAGUAUGUGGACAGGACCCAUGGCGGGAAGAGCUGCUCUGGGGUCAUGACAGGUAGCUCAUUCUUUACCCGUAGGUUGGGAGGGGGUCAGGGAUAGAGUAAGUCUCUAAGGAAUUUUGGAAACAAAGUUUCUGGGACCUUGAGGGGUUAGCUGUUGCUAGGGAAACACCAUUUAUUACCAUUUAGUAAAACCUCGGUCAUGAGACCCCUCCCCCCAGGUGUUUAUCGGGGGGCCGUAAGUUUGGAGUGUGAUUGCCAGCAUGUAUCUUGGGGCAGUUGAGAUAAAGGAGGUAGACUUACAGGAACCUUGAGGUUGGGAUAAUGUUAAGCUAGGGUUCUCUUUUGGCCCCAGCAAAGUGUCAUCAUCGAGGCUGCUGAGCUCCUAGAGGGAGGUCAUUCUGCCGGUCUCAAGGACUUGUCAGUGGGCUGUAGGCAGUAAGGGAAUUUAAUUUUUCAUUUGCUGCAGUUUCCCACAUCACCAUGGCAAGCACUUAAACCCCUUUCCUUUGUUCUUGGGCAGCCAGGAGUGUCCGAGGAAUAUCACACGUAUUCCACCGGGGAGGGGGGUGGGGGUGAUGCCAGCCUGUAUUUGCCCUCACCGUGCCCCAAGCUCCCUCAUCGCUUCUUCCAUCCGCCCCACCUGCCUCACUGGCCCCAUCGACCCCACCCCUUCCGUCUUCCCCAUCCGCUCCACCUCACAUGGACCAGCCAGAGUGUGUGCAGGUGCCCCUCUGUAUGGUUCGAGAAGCCUGCCUCCACUGUGAUGACUUCCCCGGUGGUCCCAGCUCCUGCUUUGGGCAAAGGCCAGUAGAUGCUUGGAAGGGUCUUGACCAACCUGAAGGGACUGGCAGAUAAAUUGCUUGCCUUUUCUCUAGAAGGUCUAGAGAGGCAGUGGUUCCCUAAAGUCUCCCUGAAGAUAACUCAGUGAGCCAUCAUCUUGCUGUUUCCUUUAUAAUCUGUGGCAAGCCAAAAAGAAAAACAAAAACAAAAAAACCCACCAACAAUAAAACCAAAGGGCAUCACUCUGUAUUUAUUCCCCUUUCUUCCCACUGACACUCCUGCUCCAGCCUCUUACUCCUUCCCUGGGAUUGCAGCCCUCACCCCUUUCCCAGUGCACUGGUCUCUGGCUCAGUUUUCUGAAAGACACCAUAUCACCUCAUGCAGAGGCCUAGCCAUGCUGAGACAGAACUGAAUGUUUGCCCUGUUAGAAAAAAAUGUGAAACAUUUAAGAUAGAAAAACCAAAAAAUUGUCGUUCCCCCUCUAGGUUUGGUGAUUCAGUUCGGGCCGUGCCUUUUAUUGCCUUGAGCUAUUUACAGCUUUUAAACUGUAGGAAAGUUAUAAUAAUGCAACUAAUUAUUGCCCAUAGAAAUGCAACUAAAUUUUGUCCUUUGGAAUGCAAUUGCCCUGUUGAUACUGACAUCUGUUUGUAGAUUUAUUCCAGCCUUUCUGAUUGCCUGUAUACGAAUGUGUCUGAACUCUGCCUUGAACUGGUUGUAAUAUCUUACGUGUUCCUCACAAGUUAAACAAAGUAUGUGACGUGUUGCCGUGUGGUGUUUUUUGUUUUUUGUUUUAUAUUUGCGUAGGACUCCUGACCUUGAAAACAAACGUCCUUUACAGCCCCCACCCCCAGCCUUUGCCUGGAGUCUGUCUGGAGCAGGUUUGGAAGGGCUUCCCUUAUGUGUCUUUCAGCCAGAACACAGCACAGUGCAUGCAAACUGUCACUCGUCUUCCUACUUGUUCACCGUAAACGGUGGCCGAACACGCCACCCCAAGACGGCCACCCCACUUUGGCAUAAGAUGAUGUGAGCAAAAGGCACUUGAAAAGCAGCGGGUACAAGAAGAAGGGCCGUAUCUCCCCCUUUCUACCUGAGAGCAGGACACAGACCAGGGUGAAGUUGCUGCCCCUGCUCCAGGGGGAAGGAAGUGGUCUUGCCAAGGGGACGGGAGCCCCGGCCGGGAGAAUUCUUGUUGAAAUAACUCCUAUCCAGGUAUUUCCGAUACUUUCCCACUGUCCCUUUCUGUUCACACUAGCAUGAAACCUCUCGUUCUUGCCAAUCCUGGGUCUCCGUUCUCCUUAUGAGGGCUCCCUCCCAUGUGAUGAAAAACUUACGUAAAGUAAACUUGUGUGUCUUUGUCCUGCUAAGUCUCAGGCCCGGGCCAGAGACCCCAAGAGGGUUGAGAGAAUGGCAUUCCUCCCUCCACCAGACGGAGCGCCUCCGGAGCAGGACCCUGUCGGUCUUGCUUCCCUCCCACCGACUCCCCAGUCCCAGGGCCCCUCGGGCAGGAAGCGGGGACUGUCUGCCGAGCAAAUGAUCUGUGUCCACGGCACCCACCCAUCUCCUUCCCGCCUCAGCCCAUUCACGCUCAGACCAGCCUCAGCAUAAGGGAGGACGGUGGCUUGCUUACACGCAUCCUUUGGGAAGACACGUGCCCUUACAGGGCCCGAGCGGCUGACAAAACAAGGACUUCUCUGUGUAUACACUGGCACAUACUAAUGCUCCACGUUCCCAGUGGAGCUCCAGGAGCUAAAAAUAACCACGCGUGUUCUGUUUUAUACAGAAAAGAGGAAAUGCGCAGCUUAGUUUGUAACAUUUACUAUUUUUGAAAACCUGAUUUUUUUCCACGUGUAUUUUUAAAAUGUCUUUGGAGAUGUCCUUGCAGGAAAAUGCACAAUGGUCCCUCCAUUCUGUAAUCCACAUCUUCAGGAAACAAUUGCUGGAGACCAGAUACACUUGACCACGAGAUGGGCUUUCGGGAAGCCGCCCAGAUGCAGAUCACCAGGGGUCAUAGGAGGGCCAAAGGGCCCCGGGACCUCGGAGGCCAGGUCUCUGCCUAGUCUGCCCCCUGUGCAAGGAGGGGCACACGAUCCCACGACCACAGGCUGACGGCGGGAGCGCGGGCCUCUGUUAUCCUGAGAGAUGAGCGAGAGGUGACCGUCCUGCAGUGUCGCUCUGACCGCCACUGAGCGCGGUCUUUCGUGAAAAGACGGGAGGGAGGCGUGUGUGCUAUAGGUCUUCAUCUCGUACUGCGUAUUUGCUCCUUAAGUGAGUGUGGGGAGGGUCUCGGUUUCUAAGGCUCCCCUGUAAGAGAUGGCAGGCUAUGAUGGUCAUGAGCUGGUGGUGUUCAGUGUUGUUCGCUGCCCUUCCUUCUCACAGGGACGCUGGAAGGUUAAAAAGUAUGUAAAGAACAAAUGAAGUAAAAAGGAAGAGACACAAGUUGCCUACAGCACAGGAAGUUGGGAACGUGGGAGCCGUGUUUAUGAAGAAUGUUCGACAACAGUGGAAUCUGUCCACAGCAUGCUGUUCAUGGAGGUAAGUGUACAGACGAGCGUAGCCAAAGUUUUCCCGGUCAAACAAAUACGCAGGGACGUGAAGGUCGGGGAGGUUCGGGACAGCAGGCGGACUUGGUAUGAGAUUCGGCACGCACAGACACAGGAGGAUGGGGGAGGGGGAGGGGCUAGAGCACCUUUAGGAAGCAGGGCGACGGGGGCCCCUCCCACGCUUACUUAUGGCUGGGCCUUCCCCUGGGAAACCAGCCCCAGGAUCAGCUCAGACUCAGAGUCUGGUGGCGGUUGGACUCUCACAAGCCCCCCAAGCCGGGCACACUCCCGGGGCCGAGCACGAAAGGAAGUGAGCCUUCCAAGGACGUGGCUCCCAUGUCUCCCAUGGCCUCUGGGCUGCAGCUGGGGCUCUCAGGGAGCGUUGCGUUCCCCAGGCUGGACCACACGCUCCCCACCCUCCAUGCUGCUCCUUCCGCAUACGGCCACCCUCUGGAAGGACAGCCCUCUCCCCCAGACUCCCACCAUGACUCUCCUGUCCUGAGUGGACCCCAUCCCUCUGUGGAAGGGCGCAGGCUCAGUGCAGGCCCAGGCUCUGGGCGGAAGCUCCAGGCACAGCUGCCAACAGUGAACAUUCAGGAGCAGCCAGCAGCCAACGCAGGGCCAUGGUGACAGGUGCUGUGGACAGGUCUCUGUCACUGGGCGUGUCCACCCUGAUUAGCGUCUGCGUCUCCAGCCUGGCUUGUCUUGGGCCCUGCCUGCGCCAGCCUGCCAUUUGCCAGGAACUGGAGACGGGGAGCUCCUGUAAUGAGAAGAUAGCUGUCAAGCUCUGUUUCUCUCCAACACCCGAAGCUCCCGACAAGGAUUAUAAUCGAAGCCUGAUUUGCAAGGACAUGAACCCAUUCUCUGGCGGCUGCGAUGCUGCUUCUCGGGGUCUCUGGGUCCAGCGUGUGUGGGGUGGGGGGCGGGUGCUCAGAGGAGGAUUCAGGUGCAAGAGAAGCAGCCCCAAAUGAUCUGGGCUUCCACAGCAGGGCCGGUGCCUGUGGGCCUGGGGUCGGGCUAUAGGAGUUCAGAACCCAGCGGUUAGUCACUCUCUCCAUGCCUCAGUUUCCCCAACUCUGCAAUGGGUGUAAUAACAACACUUACUACUUCGUAGACCUUUUAAGAAGCAACUACAAUAUGUAGAAACUCCCAGAGCAGAGGCUGGCACGGAGGGAACGCACCCUGAAGAGUUAGCUGACUGUAAGAGCAGCCUAAUGGCAGUUCUAAUAACAGAGUAGGCACCAGGCAUGUGUGGGGCCCUUGCUUGGCCUCUGGCCACUCAGUGCAGAGCAGGCGAAGGGCUCUGGGCUGGAGUUUUGUCGCUGCCCAUAAAAAACACAGCUACCCGUUGGUUGCUUCCUAAAGGAUAGACAGUGAGAGGGGUCCAGGGUUACCCCACUCACCCCAAGCAUUUGGCACAACCUGCCCUGGUGCCCCAGGUGCCCCUGUAAUUGAUCUAAUCAGCCUGGACCAUGAGAGGCCGGGGAGCUGGGCCGUGACCUGUGUUUCGCAGCCAAGGGUGGACUGAUGGAUGUGUCUAGCAGGCCCAGCCCCUCAGCAGCUCUCCUUAGUGGUAUUUUCUGACCCAUCUGGGAGCAAGGACUGGCUGGAGCCCUGGGCCUCACAACAAGGUUGUUUCCCCUUCCUUGGACUCACAGGGCAAGCAGCGGUGUUGGGAUGUGUCCCUUGAUGGUGGCCCAACUUGAGGGGUGCCUGGGCUCCCAGGAGAUAGCCAGCCUGGGGGAAUCUCCUCCUGACAGGAGUCUCACUGGAUGGACACCUGCACUUCUAGUGGUGGAAUGAGGAUGAGGGAUGUGCACUUUCUGGCCAGAUCGAGGCCCAGGCUCACUGGCCAGUGGUCUUCCGCCACCCUCUGCAGUUCUCCCAGGCAGACCCCGGCACAGAGAUGCAGGUCAACUGUGUUCUAUAAUACCCAUACGUAGUGAACCCAGUGCCUGAAAUGGAAAGACUGACAGUACUAAGUAUCAUCACGGGUGUGUGGCUGCCGAGAUUCUGCGGGCCUGCGAGUGGAUGUUUGUAAGUGCAUGGGAUCUUUUUUAUUUCUGGAUCUGAGUACAAAGUACACACGUGUUUUCACUUUAUAAAGCUUUUGUGUAUGUAAGCCACA